AGUGAACGCUGGCGGUAGGCCUAACACAUGCAAGUCGAACGGCAGCACAGUAAGAGCUUGCUCUUACGGGUGGCGAGUGGCGGACGGGUGAGGAAUACAUCGGAAUCUACUUUUUCGUGGGGGAUAACGUAGGGAAACUUACGCUAAUACCGCAUACGACCUACGGGUGAAAGCAGGGGGUCUUCGGACCUUGCGCGAUUGAAUGAGCCGAUGUCGGAUUAGCUAGUUGGCGGGGUAAAGGCCCACCAAGGCGACGAUCCGUAGCUGGUCUGAGAGGAUGAUCAGCCACACUGGAACUGAGACACGGUCCAGACUCCUACGGGAGGCAGCAGUGGGGAAUAUUGGACAAUGGGCGCAAGCCUGAUCCAGCCAUACCGCGUGGGUGAAGAAGGCCUUCGGGUUGUAAAGCCCUUUUGUUGGGAAAGAAAAGCAGCAGGUUAAUACCUCGCUGUUCUGACGGUACCCAAAGAAUAAGCACCGGCUAACUUCGUG
rnacentral:rRNA from 1 species